rnacentral:rRNA from 1 species
CCGCCGGCGAGUGGCAAACGGGUGAGUAAUACAUCGGAACGUGCCCAGUAGUGGGGGAUAGCCCGGCGAAAGCCGGAUUAAUACCGCAUACGAUCUAUGGAUGAAAGCGGGGGACCUUCGGGCCUCGCGCGAUUGGAGCGGCCGAUGGCUGAUUAGCUAGUUGGUGGGGUAAAGGCCUACCAAGGCUACGAUCAGUCGCUGGUCUGAGAGGACGACCAGCCACACUGGGACUGAGACACGGCCCAGACUCC